rnacentral:misc_RNA from 1 species
UCCUCUCUCUCUUUCUCUGAUCUCUCUGCUCUCUCUGCGCCCUCGCCACCCACAGGAAGCGAAAGAAAACACAACAGGCGGAGUUUUUAGGCUCGAACGUGCACACGUUUUAACCGCCCCUUUUUCUUUGUCUCCGUGUCUCGGUGCGUGUAGUAUCAGCGGUUGUGUGUGUGUGUGUGUGUGUGCGUGCGUGCCGCGGCUCUGAUCCUGUCUGCGUGUCUGUCUCCCGUAUCUCUUUCGUGUGCGUGUGCGUAUUCGGUCACACGACACUUCCAUCACCGUUACCACCACCGACCCCUUCGCGCUCUUCGGAACAUCAAGGAUCUCGCUAAAGCCAUCGCGGCCCUUGAUCACUUUCGCUCCGCCUGACGCGCACUGUGAUUCGCUCUUUCUUUUUCGUCUGCUGUGUUCUGGGGGCAUUUUGCCUUUGUGUGCGUGUGUGCCUGUCUGCGCGUGCCUGUGGUGCGUGUCAGAGGGAGCCUUGUGCUGGUGCUGUUGUGGUUUUUGCUUGCGCACACCCUUCGCUCCCUUCGCGUGUGCUCGCGUACCCGCAGCGGGCUGUGCACACGGGGGCUCAUCUCGUUCUUCUUCUCGCCCGCCGGCCCCCCUCUUGGCGGUACAGAGAUACUGGCACAAGUGUGUGUGUGUGUGCUGGAGUGCUGUUUCUUUCGUGUUUCCCUCUUCAAGAAAGAAGAACAAGGAAGACACGCCAUCAUGAGUGCCUGCACCGUCUACGUGACCGGGAUGCCGACCUCGGCGACGGAGGAUGACAUCUUCGAUUUCUUCACUCGGAUCGGCAAUGUGGCAGAGGUGCACAUGCCCUCCGCGGAGCACCAGCCGGCUUCCGGGGCUGCGGCAGCCGUCGAGGUCGUCUUCGACAAACCCGAGGAUGCCGUCAGUGCUGUGUCGAUAAGCGGCAGUGACUUCCAGGAAGACAUCCCAAUCUACAUCUCCGCUGUGGCGCCAACCGCCGCUGCGACAGAGAAGCCGGCUGGCAACGCUACAACCACCGCUGCGAACGCUGGCGGCGAUUCCAACGGCAACGCGGCUGCAGCAGCAGCUUCAGCGGAACCGGGUGCUGGCCUGCUGAUGCGUCGCUCGGCAGAUGCUGAGAGGACGUCCAAGAAUAAAGUUGUCAUCUCGUCGAUUUAUCCUCAUACGACGAGGGCGCAGCUGCGCGAGGUCUUCAGCCCGUGCGGCGCCAUCUGCGACUUUCACCUGAUCCCCACCCGCCACGUGGCCUUCGUGGGCUACACGACGGAAGAGGCGUGCGAGAAAGCGUUAAAGCUGGACGGGGCCAUGGUGAACGGUAACCCAGUCGUCGUACGGCCCUGCCCUCCACGCGACGAUGCGCCUGCGCCUGCAUCCCGGCGCGACGCGACGCGUCGCGGCAAUGAGAGCACCACUGCUUCUGCGCCGAGCCGGCGGCAGCUGGAUGUCCGCGUCGUCGUCCACGGCGUCCCCUCUGAUGUCACAAAGGAGGCGCUGCGCGCCUUCUUCUCUCCCGAUUGUGGGCCGCUCACAGACGUGUUUAUCAAGCCAGAGAUCGGCGUCGCCUUUGUGGCCUUCACCUCAGCCGAGAACGCCAAACGGGCCAUCAGCAAAUCGGGAGAGAUGCUUAUGGGAACCCGCGUAAGGAUUGAGCAACGACUUCCACUGAUCUGCCGCCGGUGCGACAAAGAGGGGCACGUGGCGGCACAGUGCAAGGAGCGUUCGCACGGCUCCCGACGCCGCAGCAACGAACGUCGACGCCGUCGUCGCUCGUCUUCCUCUACGUCCGAUCGCGACCGCCGUCGCCGUCGCCGCUCUGACUCGCUCGACCGCGACCGCCGCCGCUCUGACUCGCUCGACCGCGAUCGCCGCCGCUCUGACUCGCUCGACCGCGACCGCCGCCGCUCUGACUCGCUCGACCGCGACCGCCGCCGCCGUCGCCACUCGCGCAGUCGCAGCCCACCGCGUCGCCACUCGCGCAGUCGCAGCCCACCGCGUCGCCGCCGUCACAGUCGCAGCCCGCCGCGCAGUCGCAGCCCGCCACGCAGUCGCAGCCCGCCGCGUCGCCGCUAAAGGCAGCAGGCCCAACCGGAACGAUGUGCGCGUGACGGUGGUGAUGGCGCGUUUAGGCGAGCGCAGCGCGACAGUGCCCUCCUCUCGCCUCUCGUCCUAACGUGCCUGAUAAGAGCACUGAGGCGAUGCGGACAGUGUCGCAGGCUAAAAAAAGGAAGUUGCGUAGCAUAAGAUGGCAUAGAUGGGACGUUGCGCCUGACGCGGAUGAUGGUGACAUGAGCGUUGUACACGUGUGCACGUCAAGGCAGCAGAAAACGGAUAUCGGUAAAGAAGAAGAUGCUGUUCGUGUUUUAUUAUAUAUAUAUGUGCGAUGUUGGUGCGAGUGCAUAUGUAUUCUGGCACCCGAGGGAGGUGUUGGUGCUCAUGUGCGUGGCGGGUCUUUCUCUCUUCUUCUCCGCCUCUUUGUUUUUUUUUUUGUUUUCCGUCGUGGCCUUCCUCUUCCUCCCUCCUCCCCCCUCUCCCUUCACGACGUCUUUCCGGUGGGUGGUGAUGCACCGACAUAACCGCGUGUGCAGCACCAGCGAGAACUGCACACACAAAAG